rnacentral:lncRNA from 1 species
UCUCUUCUCUCCCUCUCCUCUCAUUCACUCUUUUCCUCUCUUCUCUCCCUCUCCGUUCCUCAUCUUCUCUCUUCUCUCUUCUCUCUUCUCUCCCUCUCCUCUUCUCAUCUUCUCUCUUCCUCUCUUCUCUUCUCUCCCUCUCCUCUCCUCAUCCUCUCUAUUCCUCUCUUCUCUCCCUUUCCUCAUCUUCUCUCUUCCACUCUUCUCUCCCUUACCUCAUCUUCUCUCUUCCACUCUUCUCUCCCUUUUCUCAUCCUCUUUAUUCCUCUCCCCUCUCCUCUCCUCAUCCUCUCUCUCCUCUCCCUCUCCUCCUAUCUGUUUCUCAUCUUGUCCCUCUCUUCUCUUUUCCUAUUCACCCCCACUCUGACAAACACAGCCACCCCCCCCCCUCUCCCCAUCCUUCCCUUCUCAUCCUAUCUCUCUCUGUCUCUUUAUUUCUCUCCCACUCCUCCCUCUCUUUCUCUCUUUCGUCUCUCCCCUCCUCAUCUUGUCCCUCUCGUCAUCUCUCUCCUCUCCUCCUCCUCCUUCUCUCCUCUCUUCACUAGAGGUUUUAAAAGCACCCCGCUCCUGCUCUCUUUUUGUCCUCUCUCCAUCACUGUCUUUCUCUAUAUCCCCACCGUCUCUUUAUUUCACUCCCUCUCUCCCUUCUGUUCAUUAGUUCCAUUUCUUCCUGUCUAUCACUAUCUUUCAUUCUCUUCUCAACUCUCCCUUUCUCUCUUUCUGCUUCUCUCAGUUUCUCUUUUCAUCCAUCCUGUUCAUGUCCUCUGUCUCACUCACUCUCUGUCCAUUCCCCUCUCUCUCUUUUUCUACAUCUCCAACACCUCUCUUUUUCUCUCUUCAUCCCUCUUCCCUCUUUCCCCCAUCUUAUACUCUUCAUUCUAUUUCACUCAGUCUUUCUCUUCAUCUCUUCCAUAUCCUCCUCUCUCCCUCUCUCUCUCCCUCUCUUUCUCUCUCUCUCUUUCUGCUUUCUCUGAUUCUCUCUUUUUUCUCUUCUCCAUCAUUUUCCAUAAGUGUCUUCUCAUCGUAUAUCUCCCGCCAGCGGGUCUUUCUCCUUCUGCUCCCCCAGGAGGUGUGUGAGCUGGGUACCAGAGGGAGCAGCCUUCUCCUGCUCAUUCACUUCCAGAAGGUUGUAGAGGUGAGUCUCCUCAUCAAAGCAAUGGCACAGGAUACCGGGUUC